GACGAACGCUGGCGGCGUGCCUAAUACAUGCAAGUCGAACGCACUCUCGUUUAGAUUGAAGGAGCUUGCUCCUGAUUGAUAAACAUUUGAGUGAGUGGCGGACGGGUGAGUAACACGUGGGUAACCUGCCCUAAAGUGGGGGAUAACAUUUGGAAACAGAUGCUAAUACCGCAUAAAACCUAACACCGCAUGGUGUAGGGUUGAAAGAUGGUUUCGGCUAUCACUUUAGGAUGGACCCGCGGUGCAUUAGUUAGUUGGUGAGGUAAAGGCUCACCAAGACCGUGAUGCAUAGCCGACCUGAGAGGGUAAUCGGCCACACUGGGACUGAGACACGGCCCAGACUCCUACGGGAGGCAGCAGUAGGGAAUCUUCCACAAUGGACGAAAGUCUGAUGGAGCAACGCCGCGUGAGUGAAGAAGGUUUUCGGAUCGUAAAACUCUGUUGUUGGAGAAGAAUGUAUCUGAUAGUAACUGAUCAGGUAGUGACGGUAUCCAACCAGAAAGCCA
rnacentral:rRNA from 1 species